GUGUCUUGAAUUAAAAAUAAGUAAUAACGGGUUUCAUUUUCAUCCAAUACAUAAGAAAAAUUAGCCUAGCAUAAUGUUAAAAUUAAACACAUAAAAUUGAAAAGACAUCACCGAGAAAUUGGCGAAACAUGAUUAAUUCCACAAAUUUGCUCGACUUUUGUGCAUGCGUAUUGAUUUCUUCAAGGCAGUCAUCCCCUUGUACGUGUGUCUAAUUCCCAGUUGGUGUGUAUGUAUGUAAUUCCAACCAAAACUCUCCUCCUGCCCAAUUGUCGUUUAUUGAUGCGUGUGUAUAUAUAUAAAAAUCAACCCACUUCUUCCUUGAUUUCUUUUUGUCGGCUACCAACAAUUGUAUGUGAUUCUAUUUAUAAGUAAGUUCCCAGCAGCAGGCCAGCCUUCUGCUUUCUUCUCUGGCAGCCGAUGUUUGACUCCCAAAAAGAAUUCCAAUUGUUUUACAAUUCUCACCCAAUUGGCAGCCAGCUUUUUCUCCUCUUCCAGCCAUCUCUUCCUAUGGUUUCUCUCUCUCUCUCUCUCUUCUCUCUUCUCUCUUUUUAUUAUUAUUUAUUAUUAUUAUUUUUAUCUGUGUAUCCCUCAAUAAUCCUCCCAGGUUGCCAUUUUUCC
rnacentral:lncRNA from 1 species